ACCUGCGGAGGGAUCAUUACUGAGUUUACGCUCUACAACCCUUUGUGAACAUACCUAUAACUGUUGCUUCGGCGGGCAGGGUCUCCGUGACCCUCCCGGCCUCCCGCCCCCGGGCGGGUCGGCGCCCGCCGGAGGAUAACCAAACUCUGAUUUAACGACGUUUCUUCUGAGUGGUACAAGCAAAUAAUCAAAACUUUUAACAACGGAUCUCUUGGUUCUGGCAUCGAUGAAGAACGCAGCGAAAUGCGAUAAGUAAUGUGAAUUGCAGAAUUCAGUGAAUCAUCGAAUCUUUGAACGCACAUUGCGCCCGCCAGCAUUCUGGCGGGCAUGCCUGUUCGAGCGUCAUUUCAACCCUCAAGCUCUGCUUGGUGUUGGGGCCCUACAGCUGAUGUAGGCCCUCAAAGGUAGUGGCGGACCCUCCCGGAGCCUCCUUUGCGUAGUAACUUUACGUCUCGCACUGGGAUCCGGAGGGACUCUUGCCGUAAAACCCCCAAUUUUCCAAAGGUUGACCUCGGAUCAGGUAGGAAUACCCGCUGAACUUAAGCAUAU
rnacentral:rRNA from 1 species